rnacentral:rRNA from 1 species
UACGUAGGGGGCAAGCGUUGUCCGGAAUUAUUGGGCGUAAAGAGCUCGUAGGCGGCCUGACAGGUCUGCUGUGAAAACUCGAGGCUCAACCUCGAGAUGUCGGCGGAAACCGUCUGGCUAGAGUCCGGAAGAGGAGAGUGGAAUUCCUGGUGUAGCGGUGAAAUGCGCAGAUAUCAGGAAGAACACCUAUGGCGAAGGCAGCUCUCUGGGACGGUACUGACGCUGAGACGCGAAAGCGUGGGGAGCGAACAGG